GUAGGAAGGGCUAUUUUCAAAGCAGUUCAUUUUCUCACAAAGAAUGUGAUCAUACAAGGGACUACUAACGGUGUGCUACCAUUCACCUUUCAGGUGGCAUUGUAGUUUUGGGCCUGGCAUGUUGACUAAGCAAAAUGAUGCAUAGCAGGGAAAUCAACCAUAAAUGCACCCCAGCAGGUACAUUGAGUACUGAGCCACCACAGGUAUAAGCAGUGUUCAUACAAGUGUGAGAGCUCUCAACAGACAGCUGUGAAAGUAAAUGGGAGCUGUGUGAAAGCACUUGAGAGGGAGCAGGAACAAAACAAGCACUGGGCAGAGGAGCUGCAGGUAGGAGCAUUUCUCCAGAGGCCUGAGGCUCUGUGCAGACAUUGCUGUUCAGCAUCAGGAUUCUUCGGCAGUGCUGAGCCACACGCACCUUAGCUAUAGACUGUUCUGGCAUCAGUCAAAACCCAGACGGUAGCAAAACAAAUGCUGAAAAUUUUGCUGGGAUAAUAAAGGGUCAGAUUUAUUCUUUUGAAACUUGAGG
rnacentral:lncRNA from 1 species